ACGGAAGGCAGCAGUGGGGAAUAUUGCACAAUGGGGGAAACCCUGAUGCAGCGACGCCGCGUGAGCGAUGAAGUAUUUCGGUAUGUAAAGCUCUAUCAGCAGGGAAGAUAAUGACGGUACCUGACUAAGAAGCCCCGGCUAACUACGUGCCAGCAGCCGCGGUAAUACGUAGGGGGCAAGCGUUAUCCGGAUUUACUGGGUGUAAAGGGAGCGCAGGCGGUUUUUAAGUCUGAUGUGAAAGCCCGCGGCUCAACUGCGGGACUGCAUUGGAAACUGGAGAACUAGAGUGUCGGAGGGGCAAGUGGAAUUCCUAGUGUAGCGGUGAAAUGCGUAGAUAUUAGGAGGAACACCAGUGGCGAAGGCGGCUUACUGGACUGUAACUGACGUUGAGGCUCGAAAGCGUGGGGAGCAAACAGGAUUAGAUACCCUGGU
rnacentral:rRNA from 1 species